GUGUCAGCAGCCGCGGUAAUACGUAGGGUGCGAGCGUUGUCCGGAAUUAUUGGGCGUAAAGGGCUCGUAGGCGGUUUGUCGCGUCGGGAGUGAAAACCUUGGGCUUAACUCAGGGCUUGCUUUCGAUACGGGCAGACUAGAGGUAUGCAGGGGAGAACGGAAUUCCUGGUGUAGCGGUGAAAUGCGCAGAUAUCAGGAGGAACACCGGUGGCGAAGGCGGUUCUCUGGGCAUGAUCUGACGCUGAGGAGCGAAAGUGUGGGGAGCGAACAGGAUUAGAUACCCUGGUAGUCC
rnacentral:rRNA from 1 species